UUUUUACCACCCUGAAUGCACCAGAUCUCCUCUGAUCUCAGAAGCUAAGCAGGGUCUGGCCUGGUUAGUAUUUGGAUGGGAUUCUGGGAUCGUAACUUGAGCCAAAAU
ensembl:rRNA 5S_rRNA 5S ribosomal RNA